GUAGGUGGCAAGCGUUGUCCGGAAUUAUUGGGCGUAAAGCGCGCGCAGGUGGUUCUUUAGGUCUGAUGUGAAAGCCCCCGGCUCAACCGGGGAGGGUCAUUGGAAACUGGGGAACUUGAGUGCAGGAGAGGAAAGUGGAAUUCCACGUGUAGCGGUGAAAUGCGUAGAUAUGUGGAGGAACACCAGUGGCGAAGGCGACUUUCUGGCCUGUAACUGACACUGAGGCGCGAAAGCGUGGGGAGCAAACAGGGAUUAGAUACCCUGGUAGUCCACGCCGUAAACGAUGAGUGCUAAGUGUUGGGGGGGUUUCCCGCCCCUCAGUGCUGCAGCUAACGCAUUAAGCACUCCGCCUGGGGAGUACGGUCGCAAGACUG
rnacentral:rRNA from 1 species